GAAUUUGAGGGUGACCUGGCUGUGACAAGCCACCCACUGAUCACCAGUGUUUUUUCAACUGAUCUUACUGGCUUGCUGGUGUCCCUUUCUCCUCCACAGUUCUGUGUCUGUCCUUCCUGAAGCAGAAUGCUCGGUCAUAAAGGACACUCUUUUUUUUUUUUCUAUCAAAAAUAAAGAACUUUCCACAUUGACUGAGAGUCUAAGUGUUCAAUUUUUAGUUUACCUGAACCUCCUAGAAUUGAAAAAUGGCAUGCGUGUAAAAGUAACAGCUCCUAUUUCUUAAAAAAGUAUAUUUUCUAGACCAGCCUUCAAAAUCUGUCCCCAAGAGGCUGACUGU
rnacentral:snRNA from 1 species